CCUACGGGAGGCAGCAGUGGGGAAUCUUGCGCAAUGGGCGAAAGCCUGACGCAGCCAUGCCGCGUGAAUGAUGAAGGUCUUAGGAUUGUAAAAUUCUUUCACCGAGGACGAUAAUGACGGUACUCGGAGAAGAAGCCCCGGCUAACUUCGUGCCAGCAGCCGCGGUAAUACGAAGGGGGCUAGCGUUGCUCGGAAUUACUGGGCGUAAAGGGAGCGUAGGCGGAUAGUUUAGUCAGAGGUGAAAGCCCAGGGCUCAACCUUGGAAUUGCCUUUGAUACUGGCUAUCUUGAGUACGGAAGAGGUAUGUGGAACUCCGAGUGUAGAGGUGAAAUUCGUAGAUAUUCGGAAGAACACCAGUGGCGAAGGCGACAUACUGGUCCGUUACUGACGCUGAGGCUCGAAAGCGUGGGGAGCAAACAGGAUUAGAUACCCUGGUAGUCCACGCUGUAAACGAUGAGUGCUAGUUGUCGGCAUGCAUGCAUGUCGGUGACGCAGCUACGCAUAAGACACUCCGCCGUCGGGAGGUACGGUCGCAGAUUAAACUACAAUAGAGUAGACGGCGUGAGACGUGCCGACGGACGACGACGAGGGAGGAGG
rnacentral:rRNA from 1 species